CAGUUGUAUGCAGUAAUGUUUUGUGAUUUUUUUUUUUUUUUAACAUCUCUCUCCUGAGAGCUCUAUAAUAUAAGUCCAGAUUGCUGCUGUCCUCCCCUGACAGGCUGGCAGAGAAGUAUUGAUCCAUCAUGGGAGGAGGAGAUGAAGUGACAACAGCAGGGACUUUUAUUUGCUCAUCCCAGAAAGAAGAACCAGAAGUCAGUGUUAGCUAAUCUCCCAUGCUUAAGUAGGAGGAUGUUAAAGGAACAGUGCAAAAAAAUGUCCUGGAUUAUUCUUCCAUUACAACUUGGGCACAGGGUGUGUUGGCAAUAAAGUUGCCUUGCUGAGAAUAAAAAUGCUGUCAUCUCUUAAAGACUUAUGUGCAACAGGAUUGAGAGACUACUCCACAAUCAAAACCAACUGCAAAAGAAAUGUUUUGUCCAUCUCUCCCACCACCUGACAGAGGCCACAAAAGGUUGCAAUGUUUUAGGGAAAUUGUACACUGUGAAAAAAACUAAAAAAAAACAACCCAGAAGUAUAAACAGGAAGAUGGUAGUUUUUUGUCAUAGGAACGUGUACAGAUUGGAAUAAAAAUGAAGAGAGAAAGGUGUUUAGGGGCAUUUGUGAAACACAGGAUUAAAUAAAAGCACUUGCUUCUACAAAAGUUUUGGCAGGACCCAGAUUCAUGAUGAUGUUUUUAGAAGAAAAGCAGUAAAAUUAAUUUAUAAUAAGAAUGUGUAUGAUCCACAAGUUCAAUCUGUAUUUUUUGCUUAGCAAUUCAUUGAGUUCUGCAUACACUGCCAAAGAAAUCAAACAAGCAUAAUGUCCCCCACACUGUAUUAGUAUUCAGCAGGUAUAGCUGAAUUCUAGUCCAUACACGUGGAGAGCAAUUAUUCUGUUGCACAGACGUUGACUUUCACAUUUUAUUUUACACUGUGUUUUACCAUUCUUUGUUAGUUCUUUUCCAGUUCUGCAAUGCUCUGCAUAUGGCUGGAUUGCUGCAUUCAGACAGACUGCAGUGAAGUCAGCCAGCUCAUAACAAAUUCUAAAAUUGGGGCAAAAGUGAAGAAUAUUAAAUUGUGGAGAAUAAGAAUGACAGCAUGUUUGUUUUUUUCAGAAGCAAAUCCACAAAAUGUUGCUGGUUGGGGUAGCACAGGCUGGGACCAGGACAUAAAAGUACACUAUGGCACAAGAGCACUGCAGCUACUGAGUGGUUUUCUAGUUUUUCAUUCUGCUUUCUUUGCAAAAAACUUUUUGUCUGUAAAAUAUCUUGGUCUCAGUUGCCUGGGGAGCACUUCCAAAAGGCAAGCGAUACCUGUCACCGCUUUAAAUUGUUUUGUACAUGGGAGUAAAAAUUAAUCCAUUUUAGUAGGCAAUAUAAAGGAUCAUAACUAUCAGCCAUCACCAAAUAAUAAUAUACCAUCCGUGAUACACUUAAUAUUUUUUGAAAAUUAAGGAAGCCUUGUGACUGUAUUCUGCUUAAUCCCAAGUCCUUAAUUAUGCUUUAUUUGCAGGCUGGGUACCAUCUUCAUGACUGAAGCAUUUCUAUUGCUGGAGUCUGGUCUUCAGGCUUAGUAACCUUUUCUGAUUUUUAAGUAAAUUGAACUAAGCUGUUGAGAAGAAAGGAAAAUGGAUUAUUCUCUAGAAAUAUCCUUGACUAGUCACUCUCAUGUCUUUACCUCUGAAAUUCAUCCUCCAUAUUUAACAUUCCUCAGCUGUAUUAUAAUUUUUAUUGGCAAUAGAGUGGCUGUGCCAUUAAAACGGCUCAGAAAGAUUGCAUUAGGUAGAUGCAUAAAGCAACAGACUAAGAAUAUUCAAAUAAGAAUAUAAUUUGACAAUUUUAGUCUGAAUUAAACAAAGCAUGACUAGUCAUUCCCUUGUCUGAUGACCUUUUAAUGACUGCUCUGCUAACUAUCAGUGCAGUCACUCUCUUCCAUGCAGCCCCUGACUUUGAAAAGAAAAUAUUUCCCUUGUUGGUAAUAUGGAUGCUUUUAAUUGAUAUACACAGGAGAAAAGUCAAAAAAACAAUAAAAAAGGAAAGAAGAGGAAAGGAACAGUUGCAUAAAAAAUAUGGGGACAAUGAAGACAUAGUAGUGUCUAAUAAUUCUGGUCACUAGUUUACCAACACAGAUCCAAACUGAAGAGUUAGUAGUAAAUCUUAACAUAGCCACCAAUGAAUUUUAAUUAAUAUAGUUUAUAACACACUAGGAAAAAAAAAAAAGCUGGGGUGGGUGUUAGCUUGGGGUUUUUUGUGGGUUUUUUUGUUGUUGUUUGUUUGUUUGUUUUUAAUUCUAAUCUUUUCUUAGUUUUCCAAAUAGCAGGAAAACCUAAUAUCAGCUUAGAAAAGCCUGAAACAAGAAGUGAGAAAGGAAUGAAAAACAGUAGCAGUAUUCAGCAUCCUCAGCUGAAGAAUGACUUUGUAUAUGACUACUUUACAUCCUCCUGUUUGAAAGCAGCUGUUCCUCAGCACAUGCAAAAGGCCAGAUGAAACAGCAGCAGCAGGACUGUGAAGUCUGCACCUUUCUGAAGGGGCUGGAGCUGGAGCCAGAUGGUCCCUGUCACCUGCAGAAAUUUUUUUGGUGCUGGCUAUCCUGUAAAAUGACACAACCCCGUGUCCAGGCUGAACAGGAUAUUAUCACUGAAGCAAUGUAAAUCCCUGAAUACUCAUCCAUCACAGCAAACACUAGAAAUAUCUGCUGAAAUCCAGCUCACAAUCAGGCUUAUUUUUUUGUCUGUUUGUUUUUUUAUUCCCUAAAUGAAUUUCUGAAUCGAUGUUUAGCUAAUAACACACCAUUAAAUCUACAAGGUUAUCAUUUCAGCUUUUGAAUGCUGUUUCAUGGUAAAUGAGGCUAUUUUUUCCCAAUAUUAUAACAGUGAUUUGUACAAUAUAAUAGCCAUUUACUCAAUAGCCUUCUGCAGAAAUAAAAUCCUAUACUUUCUGCAGUACCUUUUUAAUGCAGGUUUUCAUGAAAUCCUUACUCCUGAUGGUGAAAGUUGAUUUAUAGCAGAAACUCACCCUCUUCAGGAUUAUUGUCAAUAAACGUGAAGAUGUAAUUUGAGUGAUAAUGAAAGAACAUUUUAUUGAAAAUCUCCAGAGAGUCUCUUUCAGAAGAUAUAAUUGGAGAGGGGCUAAGAGUCUCCUGCAUCAAUUUCCAAAUUAAGCAUCUAAGCUAUCAAGAUGUGUAUAUUUUAAAACUGUCUAGGGGGAAAAGAAAAAUAAUAUAAUCAAUCAAUAACAAUAUAGGAUUAGAAUACAGCUGUGUGGAAUCAGGAACAUGGAGGGGACUAGGGAAGAACUCAAACAUUUUCAGUGUACAAAUGGCAUCAAUUUUAAUUGCCAGUUUAGUCUUAACUUUCUUUUUUAUCCAUGUGUUUAAAGCUGCUGAAACAGGUCUCCAUAUUUUGCAAAUUGUACAGCUGUACCAACCAGCUUGUUUACAGAGGUAGAAGAUGCUGCAAUUUUUAUUUUCUUAACUUUUAUUUAGAUAGACAAAUCUCCAACAGUUGACACAGUGUGAGUUUUGCUUUCUGACCCUUGUUCUUCAGGUAAUACUGAGAGCUCCUAAAAUCUCCCUCCUUUUCUAUGGCUCUAAAAUCACACCUGGAAAUAAAAUGUGUGUUUUGAACAAAUACUAUACUUUGCUAGUGUAUUUUCGAAAAGUUUAUGAUGGCAGAGUUCAAAAAUUUUCCCUGGUUGUAUGUUUGUUUCCUUACAGCAUUUUAUUCUUUAAUGUUUUGGGCCUCAAUGAUUUGAGACUUAUUUGUUUCAGAGAUGGCCUCAUUUCUUUCUUCAUUAGUGCUCUGGUCACAAAAGCUGAAGCUGCAGCUCAUCAUUAAAGAAGACAACAGGU